rnacentral:rRNA from 1 species
CCUACGGGAGGCAGCAGUGGGGAAUAUUGCACAAUGGGGGAAACCCUGAUGCAGCGACGCCGCGUGAGUGAAGAAGUAAUUCGUUACGUAAAGCUCUAUCAGCAGGGAAGAAACACUGACCUUACGGUCAGCAGACGGUACCUGAGUAAGAAGCCCCGGCUAACUACUGGCCAGCAGCCGCGGUAAUAAGUAGGGGGCAGGCGUUAUCCGGAUUUACUGGGUGGAAAGGGAGCGUAGACGGUGCGCCAAGUCGGGAGUGAAAUGCCGCAGCUUAACUGCGGAACUGCUGUGGAAACUGGCGAACUAGAGUGCGGGAGGGGUAAGCGGAAUUCCUAGUGUAGCGGUGAAAUGCGUAGAUAUUAGGAGGAACACCGGUGGCGAAGGCGGCUUACUGGACCGUAACUGACGUUGAGGCUCGAAAGCGUGGGGAGCAAACAGGAUUAGAUACCCGUGUAGUC